UCGUUCUCUCGUCCUCCCACACCGCCGCCACCACACAACGCACACACAGGGGAGAGGAGCUUCUCGCCCUGAUCCCCAUGGCCGCCAGCGACCGCCUCGAGCCUCCUCGCGCGCGCCCCUUCCACCGCCGACGGGCCAAGCUGACCCAACAGCUCCCGGCGCCCUGUUUCUCCGUGCCGCGCCCGAUGCCCCGCCGGCAACCUUGACCUCCAGCCAUGGCGCUCGCGCCUCCUCUUGCCGGCCUACUUCGCGCCGUCGUCUCCCUCCGGCUGCCCCGAGCUGUUCCUCAUCAUCGAUAUGUUGGAGCCUAGGAGCCAGAUGCCGCCUUCAACGACUUCUACUACAUUGAAGGUGCCUACUACUACGUGCAGGCCGCCGACGAUGACCAGGGGUAGUUUAGGAGGAUCCCGGACAGGAAGCAUGUGCCUCCUUCGAUCUAUAUCCCAGUUUGUGCUAGCCAUCUUAUGGCAACUUGUUUAACUUAUGUCCGUACUCAGAUACUGUUGUUUC